rnacentral:rRNA from 1 species
UACGUAGAGUGCAAGCGUUGUCCGGAAUUAUUGGGCGUAAAGGGUACGUAGGCGGAUAGUAAAGUCAAGCGUGAAAGGUGUCGGCUUAACCGACAGACUGCGUUUGAAACUGAUUAUCUUGAGUGUAACAGAGGAGAGUGGAAUUCCUAGUGUAGUGGUGAAAUACGUAGAUAUUAGGAAGAACACCAGUGGCGAAGGCGACUCUCUGGGUUAACACUGACGCUGAGGUACGAAAGCUGGGGGAGCGACGGGAGUUAGAGUACCCCGUACGUACCUCCG